AGUCGAGCGAAUCGAUGGGAGCUUGCUCCCUGAGAUUAGCGGCGGACGGGUGAGUAACACGUGGGCAACCUGCCUAUAAGACUGGGAUAACUUCGGGAAACCGGAGCUAAUACCGGAUACGUUCUUUUCUCGCAUGAGAGAAGAUGGAAAGACGGUUUACGCUGUCACUUAUAGAUGGGCCCGCGGCGCAUUAGCUAGUUGGUGAGGUAAUGGCUCACCAAGGCGACGAUGCGUAGCCGACCUGAGAGGGUGAUCGGCCACACUGGGACUGAGACACGGCCCAGACUCCUACGGGAGGCAGCAGUAGGGAAUCUUCCGCAAUGGACGAAAGUCUGACGGAGCAACGCCGCGUGAACGAAGAAGGCCUUCGGGUCGUAAAGUUCUGUUGUUAGGGAAGAACAAGUACCAGAGUAACUGCUGGUACCUUGACGGUACCUAACCAGAAAGCCACGGCUAACUACGUGCCAGCAGCCGCGGUAAUACGUAUGUGGCAAGCGUUGUCCGGAAUUAUUGGGCGUAAAGCGCGCGCAGGUGGUUCCUUAAGUCUGAUGUGAAAGCCCACGGCUCAACCGUGGAGGGUCAUUGGAAA
rnacentral:rRNA from 1 species